GUGCUUACUUCAACAGCACAUAUACUAAAAUUUAAACAAAACAGAGAAGAUAAGCAUGGGCCCUUGUGCAAGGAUGACACACAAAUUCAUGAAGUUAUAAAUAUUUUG
ensembl:snRNA U6 U6 spliceosomal RNA